rfam:Necator americanus N_americanus-1.0_Cont132209.1, whole genome shotgun sequence.
CGGGGUAUAGCUCAGUGGUAGAGCGCGCCCUUAGCAUGGGAGAGGGGUGGGGUUCAAUUCCCCAUACCUCCA